AGAGAGGAGUGCGGAUUAUAUUUGCAUUGAUUUAAAUUGACUACUCAUUACAAAAUGCAAAACAUAAAAAUAUAAUGAAACAAAAACAUAUUAACCAUGUUAAAAUUAUAUUUAAUGUUCUCUUCAAAACUUGUUUUAUGGAAAUUUGAAAUAUUUCCAGUAAAAUUGGAGGCUUGAGUAUCCAUAGAUUUUACAUGGGUACAGAGUAUAAUCCAAUUCCUCUAUAUACCUGUUCCCCAAAUGCAAACACUGUCAGAAUUUGUUGAGUUUGUCAAAAUUCUACAGCAUUGGUUUAUGUGUAAAUUUUCUUGAAAAUUUAUGUAAUAUUAUUAUACAUAUUCAUGUUUACUACAACAUUAAUUUAAUGUAUUUGCAUGAAGUACCUACAUUCAGCUAUAACACUUUAAAUGAUACAAAUAUUACCUAAGGAUUAGACUUCAUUUUAUUUCUCAAUUUCCUAUGAUAAAAAAGUCAAAAAACCUAUGCUUCUCUCUCUCAUGGUGCCUGUGAAAAUUCUGUAUGAUAUAUGCAUGGAUAGUAACCAAGUUGUGAAAUCCAGUCCAUGCUUAGUUAUACUAUAUUAUUGUCUACAUGUUUUCCCAAUAGAAAAAAAAAAAGUUCUAGCAACUACAUGCCCCUAAUGACGAGUAUUCAAUGUGUCUGGUAAUUACCAUUCCAUGAUAGCUUCAUGUACAAUCUCUCUUCACAUAUAAAGAAUAUCUUCAUAUUUCGGAUUUCCACUCUGUUCUAAAAUUCCACUAAGUUUUACACAUAGAAAAUUCUAGAAUCCACAGUUCUUCAAUCAUAAAUGCCCCUGUAAACCACUGGUUCCAAUCUGUCUCACAGAUGAACUUCCUGAAUCUCAAUGAAGAAUUUAUGGUUUUUGCCUCAGUUCAUCUAUACUCAAUCAAGUUUGACAACAAAAAGCAAACACUCCUGCAGGGGACAAGAAUCCUAAGGCUAGAGACAGUAGACCAAAGUCCAGGACCCACAUCUUUCAAAUAUUCACUGUGCAGCAUGUGUAAACUACUCCAACUCUGUGCUGACUGUCGUCAUCUGCAAAUAAGGAGAAUCACAUUCAUCUCUAGAGAGUGUGCCAAGCUAACGACCGCAGGCAGAGGAACAUUCAGAUAAACGCUACGCAACGCACAGCGACAGAGGAGGCGGGUCCGAGCUCACCCAGCGUGCAGAAAUCCGGGGACCCGCGCAGCGACAGCGGCGUGGAGACUCUCGUCCCCUGGCUCCAAAGCAGAGAUGCCUUUCCUUUCUGCACGGAGAGCAGAGCAUGCGUUUGGAGACUAAUUAAAUACGACAGUGGUCCUCUCACUCGAGCGUGCUCCUCUCGGAGUCCCUGAGGCUGUGGUCGUGGUCGUAGUCAUGGCGGCCGCGAGCUGGCCUGACAAGGCUCACAGGUCCCGAGGGCGAGCACCACGGAGGACUCCUUUCACCACUGACCCCCAGGCCCAGGCCUUCGCCUCCCUGAGCUCUGAAGGCUAGAAAGCCCACUGAGAAACCAGUUACCUACCUCAGAGCCAAGAGGAGGGGCCAGGUGACGUGUUGCCGCUUUGCACAGGCGCAGAGUCACACUUCCGCUUCCGGUUCCGGCGUGCCUUGGGGAGGGGGUGGUCCCCUGGUUGCUGGGUCUUCGACUAGGUUGGCGGUAACCACGCAGAGAAAGACUCCUGAAUUUAUCAGUGGAUGAAAAAUACUAGCUUCCCCAGGGGUUGAGAAUAGAAAACAACCAGGUCAUUUGGAAGAGCAGAUGAAGGUGACGGGUAAGAUCUGUGGCUCCCGCAGAUACACCAAGUCAACAGCUUGUACGUGCACCAAACUACAUUUAUUACCAAUUUUUUACCUGGGUCCAUUUUCCCUCUUGAAAUUGUGGAACCAGUAACAGGACCAAGCAUCAACUGAGCAGCAAACGAAAUGUAUUUUUGGCAAAGAAUAGACGUAGAUAGAUUUGCAAAUUCUCUACCUUUCAUAGAUGUAGGGUGAAAGGAAUAGGGGACAGGAUAGAUUAAUAAAAGGGGUGGAAUAUUCAUAUCUUUUCUGAUUGUGGGCAGAGUUUUGUUUCCCUUUUCCUCUUGAGUGUCACCUCUUUCUGCUAUUAAUGGUUCUUUUUUCUCUUUUUCUCCAGUUAUAGUCAUGGGCACUUUUCUCUUUUUC
ensembl:lincRNA